AGUUCGAUUAUGGCUCAGAUUGAACGCUGGCGGGAUGCUUUACACAUGCAAGUCAGACGGCAGCACGGACUUCGGUCUGGUGGCGAGUGGCGAACGGGUGAGUAAUGUAUCGGAACGUGCCUAGUAGCGGGGGAUAACUACGCGAAAGCGUAGCUAAUACCGCAUACGCCCUUCGAGGAAAGCGGGGGACCUUCGGGCCUCGCACUGGCCGACGGCCGAUAUCGGAUUGGCUAGUUGGUGGGGUAACGGCUCACCAACUAGCUAAUCCAUAUCGGCCGCUGCGGGCGAAGAUCCGCUUCCCCGAAGUUCGAUCCCCGCUACUAGGCGCGUUCCGAUCCGCCCGUUCGCCGCUGCUCCGCCCGGGUGUCGUUCGCCGCCGCCAGCGUUCAAUCUGGUACUCUCAGGCUUU
rnacentral:misc_RNA from 1 species